AGGGGUUUAGCUCAGCAGUUCAAGCACUUGUCUGGUAAGCAUGAGGUCAUGAGUUCAAACCUUGUACCCUUC
rnacentral:tRNA from 1 species